rnacentral:rRNA from 1 species
GAUGAACGCUGGCGGCGUGCCUAAUACAUGCAAGUCGAGCGAACAGAUAAGGAGCUUGCUCCUUUGACGUUAGCGGCGGACGGGUGAGUAACACGUGGGUAACCUACCUAUAAGACUGGAAUAACUCCGGGAAACCGGGGCUAAUGCCGGAUAACAUUUAGAACCGCAUGGUUCUAAAGUGAAAGAUGGUUUUGCUAUCACUUAUAGAUGGACCCGCGCCGUAUUAGCUAGUUGGUAAGGUAACGGCUUACCAAGGCAACGAUACGUAGCCGACCUGAGAGGGUGAUAGGCCACACGGGAACUGAGACACGGUCCAGACUCCUACGGGAGGCAGCAGUAGGGAAUGUGCCGCAAUAGGCGAAAGCCUGACGGAGCAACGCCGCGUGAGUGAUGAAGGUGUUCGGAUCGUAAAACUCUGUUAUUAGGGAAGAACAAAUGUGUAAGUAACUGUGCACGUCUUGACGGUACCUAAUCAGAAAGCCACGGCUAACUACGUG